rnacentral:misc_RNA from 1 species
CUCAGACCGUGAUAGAGCCGGCAUGGCUUUCUCACGCGCUUCUGUCUCAUCUUGCGCCCACAGGCCGGAGCCAAAAGCACUCAUGGCAACGAAUGCGGCGACGCCAACCAAAAGCUUCGAUGACACUGAGAACAAUGGUCAUGGCCCUUGUCAAGAGUUUGGUCGAAAUGUCAUAGCGCUCUUCGCGGCCAACAGUUACUGUCAAGAGAAAAGGUUUUUUGAAUCGGCCAAUGAAUCAUCGCGUCCAUGCAUACGCCCGAUAGCUCAAGUACUUUUCAGCAGCUUCUCUUGCACGUCGCGCUUAUCAUUAUAGCCGCGUACCCCUCUUCAGAAUAUCGGCGUCGCAAUCGGUCUCAACAAUCUCUUUACCGCAAUCAAUUUUUUCGUUGUGCUCCCUUCAAUUGUGAUUACACUCAACGCUAGAGAUUGGCGGAGCCGGUAGGCCAGACUCGGUUGCGUUUCGGGAACGGACGCACCACUUUUCGCCUGCGGCUGACCUCGAAUGAUUCGAAUCGCGCCGUUCGGUGCGAAUCUCAUGGAGCGUUCGGCAGACUUGCCGACGCAUUGAGACUUGGGAACAGAGAGCGUGCAACCACGGAGACCGUCGUCCCCGUGGCUAAUUGUUUGUCCUCGAGCUGACUACUUUGGGCCUGUUGUAACGGAGUCAAUAGUCGUGGACCCUCGUCGAUUGCGCACCCCUGUUUUAGUGAUUUAUUACAAUCGCUAUUUGACCAACAGCGACUACGCCAUGUUUAUGAAGCGCGUGGCGCGCCGCUAUUCGAAUCAAACGCUCGAACGCCUCGUCUCGGUCGGCGAUCAUGUGACGCGGCGGGCGGCCGUGCUCUCGCUGAGCCUGAUGAGCGACUACUCGUCGAACGCCGUGCUCGGCCGCGCGCUCGUGGAUCGCGAUCGCGGCGUGCGAACGAUAGCCGAGAGCGGUAUCCGCGAGCUAUGGUGCCGCAUCGGUAGCCGGCAUCAGCAAGAAAUGCUCCG